rnacentral:rRNA from 1 species
GAUGAACGCUGGCGGCGUGCCUAAUACAUGCAAGUCGAGCGAACAGAGGAGGAUCGUUCUUCUCUGACGUUAGCGACGGACGAGUGAUGAACACGUAGAUAACCGACCGAUGAGGCUAGGGUAACGUCGGGGAAGCUGAUCUAGUAUCGGUUAUGAUGGUGAACGGCAUGGUUCAUUAGUGAAAGAGCGUUUUGCUGUGACUUAGACAGAUAUCCUCGCCGCAUUAGCUAGUUGGUAAGGUAACGGCUUACCAAGGCAACGAUGCGUAGCCGACCUGAGAGGGUGAUCGGCCACACUGGAACUGAGACACGGUCCAGACUCCUACGGGAGGCAGCAGUAGGGAAUCUUCCGCAAUGGGCGAAAGCCUGACGGAGCAACGCCGCGUGAGUGAUGAAGGUCUUCGGAUCGUAAAGCUCUGUUAUUAGGGAAGAACAAAUGUGUAAGUAUCUAUGCACGUCUUGACGGUACCUAAUCAGAAAGCCACGGCUAACUACGUG